rnacentral:rRNA from 1 species
AUUGAACGCUGGCGGCAGGCCUAACACAUGCAAGUCGAGCGAGCGGCGGACGGGUGAGUAAUGUCUGGGAAACUGCCUGCUGGAGGGGGAUAACUACUGGAAACGGUAUCUAAUACCGCAUACCAUCAGAUGUGCCCAGAUGGGAUUAGCUAGUAGGGGGGGUACCGGCUCACCUGGGCGACGAUCCCUAGCUGGUCUGAGAGGAUGAUCAGCACCAUGGGAACUGAGACACGGUCCAGACUCCUACGGGAGGCAGCAGUGGGGAACAUUGGACAAUGGGCGGAAGCCUGAUGCAGCCAUGCCGCGUGUGUGAAGGAGGCCUUCGGGUUGUAAAGCACUUUUAGCGGGGAGGCGUUACCCGCAGAAGAAGCACCGGCUAACUCCGUGCCAGCAGCCGCGGUAAUAC